rnacentral:rRNA from 1 species
UACGUAGGGUGCAAGCGUUAAUCGGAAUUACUGGGCGUAAAGCGUGCGCAGGCGGUUGUGUAAGUCAGAUGUGAAAUCCCCGGGCUCAACCUGGGAAUUGCAUUUGAGACUGCACGGCUAGAGUGUGUCAGAGGGGGGUAGAAUUCCACGUGUAGCAGUGAAAUGCGUAGAGAUGUGGAGGAAUACCGAUGGCGAAGGCAGCCCCCUGGGAUAAUACUGACGCUCAUGCACGAAAGCGUGGGGAGCAAACAGG